UCUCGAUUGCCAUCAUGCUGGGUUCCUUGUGUUGAUCCUGAUAGUUUGCUAAAGCUAAAGUAAUCGACCCUCACUAUCUAAUUACUCCUCAACACCACUUUCUCAAGUCCUAAGACCAUCAUUUCUAGCCGGAUUAUCACCGGUCGAUCAUAAUAUUUCAUGACAAAGAGCUAUUAUUGUUUUGUAUUCUUCUCCCUAAUUUCAGC
rnacentral:lncRNA from 1 species